GCUUUCCCUCCAGAGUGGAUCCUGAGUACGGCGGAACACGUGAAAUUCCGUCGGAAUCCGGGAGGACCAUCUCCCAAGGCUAAAUACUCCCUAGUGACCGAUAGUGAACCAGUACCGUGAGGGAAAGGUGAAAAGCACCCCGGAAGGGGAGUGAAACAGUUCCUGAAACCGUGUGCCUACAAGUAGUUAGAGCCCGUUAAUGGGUGAUAGCGUGCCUUUUGUAGAAUGAACCGGCGAGUUACGCUUUGUUGCAAGGUUAAGCGGAAAAAGCGGAGCCGUAGCGAAAGCGAGUCUGAAUAGGGCGCAUAAGUAACAGGUCGUAGACCCGAAACCAGGUGAUCUACCCAUGUCCAGGAUGAAGGUAAGGUAAUACUUACUGGAGGUCCGAACCCACGCACGUUGAAAAGUGCGGGGAUGAGGUGUGGGUAGCGGAGAAAUUCCAAUCGAACUUGGAGAUAGCUGGUUCUCUCCGAAAUAGCUUUAGGGCUAGCCUCGAGGUAAAGAGUCAUGGAGGUAGAGCACUGUUUGGACUAGGGGCCCUUCUCGGGUUACCGAAUUCAGAUAAACUCCGAAUGCCAUGUACUUAUACUCGGGAGUCAGACUGCGAGUGAUAAGAUCCGUAGUCGAAAGGGAAACAGCCCAGACCACCAGUUAAGGUCCCCAAAUAUAUGUUAAGUGGAAAAGGAUGUGGGGUUGCUUAGACAACCAGGAUGUUGGCUUAGAAGCAGCCACCAUUGAAAGAGUGCGUAAUAGCUCACUGGUCGAGUGACCCCGCGCCGAAAAUGUACCGGGGCUAAACAUAUUACCGAAACUGUGGAUGAACCUCUUUAGAGGUGCGUGGUAGGAGAGCGUUCUAAGGGCGGUGAAGUCAGACCGGAAGGACUGGUGGAGCGAUUAUAAGUGAGAAGGCCGGUAUGAGUAGCGAAAGAAGGGUGAGAAUCCCUUCCACCGAAUAUCUAAGGUUUCCUGAGGAAGGCUCGUCCGCUCAGGGUUAGUCGGGACGUAAGCCGAGGCCGAUAGGCGUAGGCGAUGGACAACAGGUAGAGAUUCCUGUACCAGUGCUAAUUGUUUAACCGAUGGGGUGACACAGAAGGAUAGGGAA
rnacentral:rRNA from 1 species